rnacentral:rRNA from 1 species
CUCGUAGGCGGCUUGUCGCGUCGACCGUGAAAACUUGGGGCUCAACUCUGAGCUUGCGGUCGAUACGGGUGGGCUGGAGUUCGGUAGGGGAGACUGGAAUUCCUGGUGUAGCGGUGAAAUGCGCAGAUAUCAGGAGGAACACCGGUGGCGAAGGCGGGUCUCUGGGCCGAUACUGACGCUGAGGAGCGAAAGCGUGGGUAGCAAACA